ACGAGCAGAAGCCGUACCGUGAGGAGCGGUGGAUUGUAUAGAAGUGAGAAUGCCGGUGUGAGUAGCGAGAUGUAGGUGAGAAUCCUACACACCGAAAGCCCAAGGAUUCCAGGGGAAGGUUCGUCCGCCCUGGGUAAGUCGGGACCUAACGCGAGGCCGAAAGGCGUAGUGGAUGGAAAGCAGGCGAAAGAUUCCUGCACCCGUAUAUGGAGCGAAGGAGUGACGGAGACGGAUAGUGUGACCCUCUUAAUGGAUUGAGGGCGAAGCGAAGCGGCUGGUUACCAGGCAAAUCCGGUAACCAAAAGGCUAGAGCGUGACAGGUAAGCGAAAUCUUAGGAAAGUAGCGAAGCACAUGAUGACGGCUUCCAGGAAAAGCUUCUGGCAAUGCAUAUGCGGCCCGUACCAAAACCGACACAGGUGGGCAGGGAGAGAAUCCCGAGGUGAGCGAGAGAACUGUUGCCAAGGAACUCGGCAAAAUGACUCCGUAAGUUAGCGAGAAGGAGUGCUUAAGCAAUUAAGCCGCAGUGAAGAGGCCCAAGCGACUGUUUAACUAAAACACAGCUCUCUGCGAAGUCGCAAGACGAAGUAUAGGGGGUGACACCUGCCCGGUGCUGGAAGGUUAAGAGGAUCUGUUAAGAGCGAUCUGAAGCAGUGAUCCGAAGCCCCAGUGAACGGCGGCCGUAACUAUAACGGUCCUAAGGUAGCGAAAUUCCUUGUCAGGUAAGUUCUGACCCGCACGAAAGGUGUAACGAUUUGGGCGCUGUCUCGGCAGCAGACUCGGUGAAAUCUUAGUACCUGUGAAAAUGCAGGUUACCCGCAACUAGACGGAAAGACCCCAUGGAGCUUUACUGCAGCCUGAUAUUGAAUUCUGGUCAUACAUGUACAGGAUAGGUGGGAGACAAAGAGACGUGCACGCCAGUGUACGAGGAGUCGUCGUUGGGAUACCACUCUUGUGUGACCGGGGUUCUAACCUGGUAUCGAGAACAGGUACGGGGAGAGUGUCAGGUGGGCAGUUUGACUGGGGCGGUCGCCUCCCAAAGAGUAACGGAGGCGCCCAAAGGUACGCUCAGAUUGGAUGGAAACCAUUCGUCGAGUGCAAUUGCAGAAGCGUGCUUGACUGUG
rnacentral:rRNA from 1 species